rnacentral:rRNA from 1 species
CAGCCGCCGCGGGAAUACGGAGGGUGCGAGCGUUAAUCGGAAUUACUGGGCGUAAAGCGUACGCAGGCGGUUUGUUAAGUCAGAUGUGAAAUCCCCGAGCUUAACUCGGGAACUGCAUUUGAAACUGGCAGGCUAGAGUCUCGUAGAGGGGGGUAGAAUUCCAGGUGUAGCGGUGAAAUGCGUAGAGAUCUGGAGGAAUACCGGUGGCGAAGGCGGCCCCCUGGACGAAGACUGACGCUCAGGUACGAAAGCGUGGGGAGCAAACAGGAUUAGAGACCCCUGUAGUCCCUGUCUCUUAUAU